AGGUUGAUGUGUUCUCUUUUGGGAUUGUACUGUGUGAAAUUCUAGCCAGAAUCCCAGCAGACCCAGAAAUCCUGCCAAGAACUCAGGACUAUGGUUUGGAUGUGUCUGCUUUUAGGAAGAUGGUUUCUGGUUGUCCACAGCGUGUACUGGACCUGGCUGCCAACUGCUGCUUGAUGGAAGCGUUCCGACGGCCGUCAUUCACUGAGGUACUGGAUGAGCUGUCGGAGGUGGUAGAGACCCUGGAGCCACCUGCACAAACAGAUCUGACCACCGGCUGAGCUAUAAUGUUCUACUUUGUGAGCACUCCAAACCAACGUACCUAAACAAAAGUAAGAGGAAACAAGGUCAUCAGAACAACCGGAUCUGUCUUUCACAGAUUUUAAAACUGUAUGGCAGUGGGAAAAAGAA